CAGUCGAACGGAACUGUUUUGAAAGAUUUCUUCGGAAUGAAUUUGAUUUACUUUAGUGGCGGACGGGUGAGUAACGCGUGAGUAACCUGCCUUCAAGAGGGGAAUAACAUUCUGAAGAGAAUGCUAAUACCGCAUGACUUAUCGGAACCACAUGGUUUUGAUAUCAAAGAUUUUAUCGCUUGAAGAUGGACUCGCGUCCGAUUAGUUAGUUGGUGAGGUAACGGCUCACCAAGACCGCGAUCGGUAGCCGGACUGAGAGGUUGAACGGCCACAUUGGGACUGAGACACGGCCCAGACUCCUACGGGAGGCAGCAGUGGGGGAUAUUGCGCAAUGGGGGCAACCCUGACGCAGCAACGCCGCGUGAAGGAUGAAGGUUUUCGGAUUGUAAACUUCUUUUAUUAAGGACGAAAAAUGACGGUACUUAAUGAAUAAGCUCCGGCUAACUACGUGCCAGCAGCCGCGGUAAUACGUAGGGAGCAAGCGUUGUCCGGAUUUACUGGGUGUAAAGGGUGCGUAGGCGGCUUUGCAAGUCAGAUGUGAAAUCUAUGGGCUCAACCCAUAAACUGCAUUUGAAACUGUAGAGCUUGAGUGAAGUAGAGGCAGGCGGAAUUCCCCGUGUAGCGGUGAAAUGCGUAGAGAUGGGGAGGAACACCAGUGGCGAAGGCGGCCUGCUGGGCUUUAACUGACGCUGAGGCACGAAAGCGUGGGUAGCAAACAGGAU
rnacentral:rRNA from 1 species